rnacentral:rRNA from 1 species
CACGAACGCUGGCGGCAGGCUUAACACAUGCAAGUCGAACGGUUGUAGCAAUACAGCAGUGGCAGACGGGUGAGUAACACGUGGGAACCUUCCUAGGGGUACGGAACAACUCAGGGAAACUUGAGCUAAUACCGUAUACGUCCGUGAGGAGAAAGAUUUAUCGCCCUUAGACGGGCCCGCGUCGGAUUAGCUAGUUGGUGGGGUAACGGCCUACCAAGGCGACGAUCCGUAGCUGAUCUUAGAGGAUGAUCAGCCACACUGGGACUGAGACGCGGCCCAGACUCCUACGGGAGGCAGCAGUGGGGAAUCUUGGACAAUGGGCGCAAGCCUGAUCCAGCCAUGCCGCGUGAGUGAAGAAGGUCUUCGGAUUGUAAAGCUCUUUUACCAGGGACGAUAAUGACGGUACCUGGAGAAUAAGCCCCGGCAAACUUCGUGCCAGCAGCCGCGGUAACAC